GACGAACGCUGGCGGCGUGCUUAACACAUGCAAGUCGAACGGAAAGGCCCUGCUUUUGUGGGGUGCUCGAGUGGCGAACGGGUGAGUACCCCGUGAGUAACCUGCCCUUGACUUUGGGAUAACUUCAGGAACCUGGGGCUAAUACCGGAUAGGAGCUCCUGCUGCAUGGUGGGGGUUGGAAAGUUUCGGCGGUUGGGGAUGGACUCGCGGCUUAUCAGCUUGUUGGUGGGGUAGUGGCUUACCAAGGCUUUGACGGGUAGCCGGCCUGAGAGGGUGACCGGCCACAUUGGGACUGAGAUACGGCCCAGACUCCUACGGGAGGCAGCAGUGGGGAAUAUUGCACAAUGGGCGGAAGCCUGAUGCAGCAACGCCGCGUGCGGGAUGACGGCCUUCGGGUUGUAAACCGCUUUCGCCUGUGACGAAGCGUGAGUGACGGUAAUGGGUAAAGAAGCACCGGCUAACUACGUG
rnacentral:rRNA from 1 species